rnacentral:rRNA from 1 species
AGAACGAACGCUGGCGGCAUGCCUAACACAUGCAAGUCGAACGCCUGUAGCAAUACAGGAGUGGCGCACGGGUGAGUAACGCGUGGGAACCUGCCCUGGAGUGGGGGAUAACCGAGAGAAAUUUCGGCUAAUACCGCAUACGACCUGAGGGUGAAAGAUUUAUCGCUCUAGGAGGGGCCCGCGUCGGAUUAGCUAGUUGGUGGGGUAACGGCCUACCAAGGCAACGAUCCGUAGCUGGUCUGAGAGGAUGAUCAGCCACACUGGGACUGAGACACGGCCCAGACUCCUACGGGAGGCAGCAGUGGGAAUAUUGGACAAUGGGGGAAACCCUGAUCCAGCAAUGCCGCGUGAGUGAUGAAGGCCUUAGGGUUGUAAAGCUCUUUCGGCGGGGACGAUGAUGACGGUACCGCAGAAGAAGCCCGGCUAACUUCGUGCCAGCAGCCGC